rnacentral:rRNA from 1 species
CCUACGGGAGGCAGCAGUGGGGAAUAUUGCACAAUGGGGGAAACCCUGAUGCAGCGACGCCGCGUGAGUGAAGAAGUAAUUAGUUGUGUAAAGCUCUAUCAGCAGGGAAGAAAAUGACGGUACCUGAGUAAGAAGCCCCGGCUAACUACGUGCCAGCAGCCGCGGUAAUCCGUCGGGAGCACGCGUUAUUCGGGUUUACUGGGUGUUAAGGGGGCGUUGACGGCAAUGCAAGGUCGGUGGGAAAGGCGUGGGGUCAACCCCCGUAGUGCCCUGGACACUGGAGGGCUGGAGUGCACGAGAGGUAAGUGGAAUGCGUAGUGUAGCGGUGAAAUGCGUAGAUAUUAGGAGGAACACCAGUGGCGAAGGCGGCUUACUGGACUGUAACUGACGUUGAGGCUCGAAAGCGUGGGGAGCAAACAGGAUUAGAUACCCUGGUAGUC